UUUCUUCUUUGCUGUUUUCAGUGAGUGUUUUGUUUUCUCUUUGUCCUUGAUCUCGAGGGCGUUGUCGUGCUCAUUACCUUACUGAGACGUCUCUUGUGACUGUAGCCAGUGUCACGGAGGAUUUUAUUGGCGUGACGAGGUAGAUCGCCGAGAUCGAGCGUGAAAAACGCUCUGCAUUAGUAGCUCCUGUAGAAUGUCUUCUGGGAUGGCGUAUCCAUGGUCAACAAAGCCAAGGUGCAAGACAGCAUAAGAGAUCGUGUAAACGAUGUGAACUCCAAAAGAUAAUCUGGACAAAUAAAUUAUUAUUGUAACUGGAGAGUGCAAUCGUGCUUGGGACCCAUCCCAAUGUCAUCACAUGGCUGUGGUGACUAGUGUAUACCUGGGAGAAUUUUUCCUCAACUGAGACGGAGUGUAGAUGGAUGGAUUAUGAGAAAUGCGAAGAUGUGGAGUUCAAGGCUAGAUGCACUUCACAUUCGGCGUGGGAUCUCGGCGUCUCGGACCUGAUAACGUCUUGGUUGGAUGGGUGAUCAAGGAUGAUACUACUCGGCACACCAAUGUACAUGUCAAUGUAGUUUUUACUUUUUCAGAGCUGCACUAUUUACGUCUUGAUGCUUACUUCGGUGCUAGUGUCGUGUCCGUGUGUUGCUACAAUGUCAUUAUCUGUAUUGUAUUCCGUCUGCUUAUACAUGUGUCUUUAUGAAGUGUUUGCCGUGGCGGCGAUGUGUCUUGUCGAUCAAUAGUGUUGUGAAACCUAUCACUAUUCAUGCUUUGCUGGCUACUUGCUCGCUCCGCGCCGUGCACGCUACUAGGUCUUGUAGUAUAUAGCUCGAUGCUUUGCAUCGAUCGCUGGUUGUUGUUGUUCUUGUUGCUUCUCUGUUGUUUGAGCUUGGUCCUAGAGUGAA